rnacentral:rRNA from 1 species
CCCUUAGAUGUUCUGGGCCGCACGCGCGCUACACUGAUGCAUUCAACGAGUUUCUUCCUGGUCCGAGAGGAAUGGGUAACCUUUUGAAAGUGCAUCGUGAUAGGGAUAGACUAUUGCAAUUAUUGGUCUUCAACGAGGAAUUCCUAGUAGACGUAGUUCAUCAGACUGCAUCGAUUAUGUCCCUGCCCUUUGUACACACCGCCCGUCGCUCCUACCGAUUGAAUGCUCAGGUGAGCCAUUCGGACUUUCAUCAUGCUGGUUUCCAGUUUUGAUGAAGGAAAGUCUUGCGAACCUUAUCAUUUAGAGGAAGGAGAAGUCGUAACA